GUGCUAGGUUUAUCAGCCCAUAUACUAAAAUUGGAACAACUCAGAGAAGAUUAGCAUAGCCUUGCACAAGGAUGACAUGAAAAUUUGUGAAGCAUUUCAUACUAAA
ensembl:snRNA U6 U6 spliceosomal RNA